GUCGACGGCAGCGGCGGCGGCGGGUGGGAAAUGGCGGAGUAUCUGGCCUCCAUCUUCGGCACCGAGAAAGACAAAGUCAACUGUUCAUUUUAUUUCAAAAUUGGAGCAUGUCGUCAUGGAGACAGGUGCUCUCGGUUGCACAAUAAACCGACGUUUAGCCAGACCAUCUUGAUUCAAAACAUCUAUCGUAAUCCCCAAAACAGUGCACAGACGGCUGACGGCUCACACUGUAAGUCCCACAGUUGGAGAAAUUUUUUUAAAACAAUGGUGUUAAAGAGCCCACUCUUAAUUGAGACAAAUAAUGUUGGCUUCUGAGCUGCUGACAUAGAGCUGUUGCAAACAGGACAAGGUGCUGGAACUCCUUGGCGCACACAGCAAGAACUUGAUACUUGGCCACGUUCAGGAGGCUUUUCCCUUCUAGGGAGGGUCACUGGCCCGGCCACCUCCAUUGAUUGACAUUUGUCAUGAGAGCAGGUCCGUCCAUGUGAAACGGAUUUCAACAUUUUGAGCCAUUCAUUGGUCUUUACAGUGACUGAACCCCUGGCCUUUAUUAAGUUCUUUGUGUAAAAUUAAAACUCUUAGGAAUAUUAAGGAAUCAAUGAGGUAAGUUGCCCAGUAAGUGUGGGUUUUAUUUCACCAUUAUAAUUUUUCCUCCAGGAAGUGGAGAUUUCAUGAUAUGUAACAAUUGUAUUUCUCUAAUACAGUAAUUUUUUUCCAUCAGUUUAUGUAAGCAUUAUUCUUUCCGAGUUCAUUAAAAAUUUUCUGCCACAUCUAAGAACAUUUUGGUGCUAGCCUGGCAAACUAUUUGUGCUUUUACCUGAAUUGGAAUUUUGAAAAGGAGAGUUUUCACGUUCUGUGAGCAGAAGUACAAGAUGGGCAUAUCAUGAGACCUCCGUUACACCGCAGUGUUAGGGAUUCAAGGCAGCCGCCAACUGAGAAAACGCCUCUGCUUCUCCAGAAAAUAACUUGCUCUCUUUUCAGCACUGAAUCUCAACUGAAGCACUUGCCAGAGGCAGCCGGUUAAGUGUUUACCUUUAAUUUUCCAUAAUAUAAAGUUGUUGCGUUUUGUAUUUCAGACCAUUGCCCUCUUGAACAUUUACCGUAACCCUCAAAACUCUUCCCAGUCUGCUGACGGUUUGCGCUGUAAGUUCAUACAAGUUCCUUCCCCGGUUCCCUGGGCUUGCGUGUCAGAGCUCAGUGUCCACUCCAUCUGGUCUGCCGUGCUAGUGUCAAGGACCGCGUUUCACUAGAGGUGGCAAGGAGCUUUCGUCCCACUGACCCCACGGAAACCUCUUUUGGAGAUUUGAACUCCCACCGUGUGUUAAAAAGGGAAAAAGUAACUGGAAAGGGUGCCCUUUAAAACAGUCUGGAGCUGGGCCGGGCGCGGUGGCUCACGCCUGUAAUCCCAGCACUUUGGGAGGCCGAGGCGGGUGGAUCAUGAGGUCAGGAGUUCAAGACCAAUCUGGCCAACGUGGUGAAACCCCAUCUCUGCUAAAGAUACAAAAAUUAGCUGGGCGUGGUGGCGGAUGCCUGUAAUCCCAGCUUCUAGGGAGGCUGAGACAGAGAAUCGCUUGAACCCGGGAGGCGGAGGUUGCAGUGAACCGAGAUCGUGCCGCUGCACUCCAGCCUGGGCGACAGAGUGAGACUCCGUCUCCAAAAAAAAAAAAAAAAAAACAGUCUGGAGCUGUUGCUGCCCCUUCUUCCUUUACUUUGGCCGUCAUCCUAGAGGGAAUGUACUGGAAUUAAACGUCGAGUCAUAUUCUUCCCUCUUAGAGCAACAGAAUUUGAAUGUUUCUCUCACUUUCUGGAAUUUUUAAAAAGCAAACCUUUUAAGUUAUUUUUUCAGAUUUUAUUUCUCAUUAGCCUUUUUUCCUUGAACUCCAUUUUGGAGUGCACCCUGUAGUUGUAAGAGCAUUGUGCUGAGAGCAUUCCCCAAAUGAGGGUCUGCAGCUUGCACUGACCCCUGAGUUCCUCACCCACCAGCCCCGUGCCGACCCGUCUAACCCGUGUGGGGGUGCUCCACUCAAAUAGGCCCUUGGCAGAAAAGAUUGUCCGUUCUGUCCACACACUGCCUGGAUACAGUCUCCAGCUCUAGGAGAUGGAAUUGGUUUGCUCCAUUUAGAAAUAGAUCAAAACUGGGCAUUCAGUAGAUGGUACCAAUAUCUUCCUGUACUGGGAAAUACUAAAUUUAGGUUGUGAAUAUUUACCUAAUGAUAAUUUUUAGAGAAGGAGAUAUCAUAGAUGAGUAUGAUUGGGAAGUUCAGAAAACUAAAAUUUGAUUUUUACAGCCAUCCAACUAUAGAAUCAUUGGAAUUUAGUCAUUUAUGGAUAAAUUAAAAUGAACACCUGGACUCUUGUUAAAAUCAAAAAGUCCAAACCAAAGAUAGGCACUUCCCAUUCACCAUUCUGUUUUAAAGCAGUAAAAAUUGAGGUGCCCUUGGAUAUCCACAAGCCUAAAUUGUGUACACCCUUGAACCAGAGCCCCUCAGUUAAUGGGGUGACCGACAUGGGGUAGAUGAUCCCAGGGGGCAUUCCCCUCUUGAGCUGGCCCUGCACUGGGUGGCCUGGGGAUUGUGCUUCCUUGCACAGUGGUGCGCAUUUCUAUGUGUGGAUGAGAUUUUCUUAUCAACUUUUCCUGCCAAGACACUAAAUGCUUUUCAGUGCUAAUACUGACCUGAUAGUAGAGAUUUCUUUCCCUGAGUCGGAUGGUAGCAGGAUUUACUUGGUAACCCUUGGUUUAAAAUACCUGUUUUUUUGUUUGUUUGUUUUCUUUUGUUUUUUAAGGAAAUAAGAUCAAUAGGCGGAGGGAAAUGUUUCUAUAUGCACUUAUUAAAUAAUUUUUGUUAACAACCCUGCCCUGGGAUAAAAGUGAAUGGAAGUACAUGACUGAGUAACAGUAAUUAAUUCUUUGCCCUGAUCGUUUAUUUGGGGACUGUAUAUGCUUUCUUGACUGACAAUAGAAUGUUGUAUUAGUUUUCAUUGUGUCUUUAUUUGCAGUUCACAGCACUUUUGUUUUGCAUAUGCUACAAACUAAAAGUUUAGCAAUUACGUUACAUUCCAAUUCUGGGGUCCAGAUUGUACAAAUUAGAUGAAAUUCUAAUUCGUCAUUUUAGGAAGAAAUCAGUUACCUAAAAUUACUGGCUCUUUUUAACAUACCCUUUAGUAUGUAAAAAAAUAAGCUUCAAAUGCGUGGGUUAAAGUUAACUAUCAAUCCCAGUUUAAGAAUGAUAUUUCUGCAAGAAAACUGCUUUAUUUUCCAAGUUGUAUUUAACAUAGGCUGAGUCACAAAUAAGUUUUUAAUUGUAUCUUAAUGCAGUUGUCUCUGCCUUUCAGGUCACUUUUGAUUGAAACAUUUUAAGCAGAAUAAAUAUAGCCAAUAAUUUAAAAUAAUCACCCCAAAACCAUUUCUCAAACCUGCUAAAACUUUGAGCACGUGAAUAAUUUUCUCCUCUUCACAUUCUUCUUAUGUGGGAAGGAAGUGAAUUUGAAAUAUUAAAAUCUGCCCUUUGGAAUAGGCUACUUUGGCCGUUUGUAACUUGAUUUCUACUCGGGGAGGAAGGUACAUUCCCAAUAGCUUUUCAAUUGGGAUAUCCUGUGAUAUGAUUGACAGGCUGUCCGAGUAGUUACACUUAAUAAAAUUUGGGUUUGAAAGCAGAUUCCUGGAAGUUCAAAAAUAACUAAAACAGCCCCAGAUAGGUUAGAAAGUGAACUUAGAUCAUUCUCAGAAUUAGAAAAUAAGAAGUUAUUUUUUAUCCUUAAAGAUAAAAAGGGGGCCGGGCACGGUGGCUCACGCCUGUAAUCCCAGCACUUUGGGAAGCCAAGGCAAGUGGAUCACGAGGUCGAGAGAUUGAGACCAUCCUGGCCAACAUGGUGGAACCCCGUCUCCACUAAAACUACAAAAAUUAGCCAAGAUUACGCUACUGCACUCCAGCCUGGAGACAGUGAGACUCCGUCUCAAAAAAAAAAAAAAAAAAAA
rnacentral:sRNA from 1 species